UUUAUGAUGAUCCAUUUCCAUUUGGUGAAUGAUGAAGAAUAAUUAAGGUUAUUGGCUGCAUGAAGUUAACCAAGCAAAGUGACACAAUGGGAAUCUAAACCUGAUUCCAAAGUUGCACAUCUUUUAAAAUACAUUAAUUUGUCUCCUGAGCUGCUGUGAAUAAUCCAAAGAACUCCUGAUGUUAGAUAUAAGUUUAGAAGAAAUUAGAAUAGUAUUGUAUAUAAAUUUUAAAAAUCAGCAAAUAACUGCUUCAAUAUAGCCAGAUAGAGAUAUAACAGACUAAUACAAUUUGGAAAAAAGAAAAAAAAGAAAAAAACAAUGUAGUGAAAUUUAUAUAGCAUUCGCAAUUAGAACUAAUGGGAAAGCUCCACAGGGUAAACAGAUACAAUACUCUGGCAAGUGGUUAAAGACAUUCGUGUGCCAGGGAUUGAGCUAGAUGAUGUAAGUACAGAUAUCAAGAUAAGGAGGGUACAGAAUCUAACCUCAGGAAUUCUAUGAUCUAGUCAACGUACGCAACUAAAGAAAUGUCAAAGGAAUGGCCCAUAUCACCUUGAGAAUGAGGACAUGUUCACAUAUCCAGAUUGGGCACGAUAUCUAGAGAUCUGCCACGCUGUCUUGUACCUGAAACUCUUCUUUCCAUUCUGAAAACUGGAUCUCAGCAUACAUCUAAUAUUUGACCUGAAUGCCAGCACUCACCAGUCAUUAUUUUAAAAGCAACCACACGGUUGGAUCACCUGACACCAGGAGUUCAAGACCAGCCUGGGCAAUGUAGUGAAACCCCAUCUCUACUAAAAAUACAAAAAUUAGCUGGGCAUAGUGGUGCAUGCCUGUAGUCCCAGCUACUCAGGAGGCUGAGGCACAAGAAUCACUUGAACCAGGAGGCUGAAGUUGCAGUGAGCUGAGACCGCACCACUGCACUCCAGCUUCCUGAGUGACAGAGACUCUGUUUCAAAAAUAAAAAUAAAAAUAAAAAUAAAAAAAUUUAAAAAGCGCCUGUAAUCACAGCACUUU
rnacentral:lncRNA from 10 species